rnacentral:rRNA from 1 species
AGCGGAGGGAUCAUUACUGAGUUAUUAAAACUCCAAACCCUUUGUGAACCUUACUGUCGUUGCCUCGGCGUGAGCUACGGCUACCCUGUAGCUACCCUAUAGCUACCCUGCAGCUACCCUAUAGUUGACCAGUAGCUACCCUGUAGUUACCCUAUAGCUACCCUGCAGCUACCCUAUAGUUGACAUGUAGCUACCCUGUAGCCGGCUUAUGGCCCGCCGAAGGACCGCUAAACUCUUGUUUUUUUACCACUGUUUCUCUGAAUUGUAAACUUAAAUAAGUUAAAACUUUCAACAACGGAUCUCUUGGUUCUGGCAUCGAUGAAGAACGCAGCGAAAUGCGAUAAGUAAUGUGAAUUGCAGAAUUCAGUGAAUCAUCGAAUCUUUGAACGCACAUUGCGCCCAUUAGUAUUCUAGUGGGCAUGCCUAUUCGAGCGUCAUUUCGACCCUUAAGCCCCUGUUGCUUAGCGUUGGGAAUCUACAGCGUAGUUCCUUAAAGUUAGUGGCGGAGUUAGGGUACACUCUCAGCGUAGUAAUCUUUCUCGCUCGUGUGGUGGCCCUGGCUGCUAGCCGUUAAACCCCUAUAUUUUCUAGUGGUUGACCUCGGAUUAGGUAGGAAUACCCGCUGAACUUAAGCAU